GACGAACGCUGGCGGCGUGCUUAACACAUGCAAGUCGAACGGAAAGGCCCUGCUUUUGUGGGGUGCUCGAGUGGCGAACGGGUGAGUAACACGUGAGUAACCUGCCCUUGACUUUGGGAUAACUUCAGGAAACUGGGGCUAAUACCGGAUAGGAGCUCCUGCUGCAUGAUGGGGGUUGGAAAGUUUCGGCGGUUGGGGAUGGACUCGCGGCUUAUCAGCUUGUUGGUGGGGUAGUGGCUUACCCAGGCUUUGACGGGUAGCCGGCCUGAGAGGGUGACCGGCCACAAUGGGACUGAGAUACGGCCCAGACUCCUACGGGAGGCAGCAGUGGGGAAUAUUGCACAAUGGGCGGAAGCCUGAUGCAGCAACGCCGCGUGCGGGAUGGCGGCCUUCGGGUUGUAAACCGCUUUCGCCUGUGACGAAGCGUGAGUGACGGUAAUGGGUAAAGAAGCACCGGCUAACUACGUG
rnacentral:rRNA from 1 species